AUGAAGAAGGUCAUUCAGCAGUUUGUGCAAUCUUGCUUAGUGUGUCAGCAAGCGAAGCCUGAGCGUGUAGCUUACCCGGGACUGCUAUCACCAUUGCCAGUACCUGCCAAGGCCCAGGCAACGGUGACAAUGGACUUUAUCUUAGGAUUACCUCCUUCAGGCCAGUUUGACUGUAUUAUGGUCAUCAUCAACAAAUUUACAAAGUAUGGCCACUUUGUUCCUGUCAAACACCCCUACACGGCCCAGAAAAUUGCUGAUUUUUUCCUAGACAAUGUCUAUAAGCUUCAUGGCAUGUCUCUGUACAUUGUGUUAGACCGAGACCCUGUCUUUACCAGCAAUUUUUGGCAAAAUUUGGUCAGGAGAACUGGAGUUGUCCUUAACAUGAGCACUGCAUACCAUCCGGGGACUGACGGCCAGACCGAACGAGUGAAUCAACAGGUUGAGUGUUUCCUGAGAUGCUUUAUCAGUACCCACCCCAACAAGUGGUCCAAAUGGCUUCCCAUGUGUGAGUUCUGGUACAAUACAAACUGGCAUUCUGCUCUCAACAAAUCACCGUUUGAAGUUCUUUAUGGACAUAGCCCCAGGUAUUUUGGGAUAUCAGCUUCAGAUACGGUUGCUCCGGUUGAUCUGCAGCAGUGGUUGGAAGCCAGGGAGGUUGUGCAACAAUCGGUUCGUCAACACUUGUUGCGAGUUCAACAGCGAAUGAAAUGCCAGGCUGACAAACAUCGCACGGAGAGGACAUUUGAGGUGGGUGACAAGGUGUUUCUCAAGCUCCAGCCGUAUGUGCAAUCGUCAGUGGCGCACCAGGCAAAUCACAAACUUGCAUUCAAGUACUUUGGGCCUUUCCUUAUUCUGGAGAAAAUUGGAGAGGUGGCUUACCGGUUGCAAUUGCCAGCAGCUAGUAGGAUCCACCCCGUCUUCCAUGUCUCGCAACUGAAGCGCUUUGUGCAACCAUAG
rnacentral:rRNA from 1 species